rnacentral:rRNA from 1 species
UACGAGGGAGCAAGCGUUGUUCGGAUUUACUGGGCGUAAAGGGCGCGUAGGCGGUCGUGACAAGUCACUUGUGAAAUCUCCGGGCUUAACUCGGAACGGUCAAGUGAUACUGUCGGACUAGAGUACAGAAGGGGCAACUGGAAUUCUCGGUGUAGCGGUGAAAUGCGUAGAUAUCGAGAGGAACACCUGGCGGCGAAGGCGGGUUGCUGGGCUGAUAAC